CAUUUGUUCACAUUUCAGUAUUCGUAGAAACCCUUCUCAAAGAUGCUUUGGAUGUAAAAGAGAAAUAUCCUAACAAAAGUCUAAAGAAACUCUAUUUUUAUGUGCUUAUUUGUUAUUGAUUAAUUUAAACAAUAAAUUUGAGGGAAUUAUGAAAAAUGUUGUGUGUUUUAAGGUUGUUCUAUCAGUGUUUUAUUCUAAUGUUUCCCACAACCUUGGCUCACCAAAGAAAAAGAGAAACGACAAAACAGCAGCAAAAAAAGAGAAAUGUGUUAAGGAAAUGAGGAGUCGAUCUCAAGUCGUACAAAAUGAAGUCAGGCUGGCUAAGGAUGACGUAACAUUUAGCAGUGUCUUAGCGUUUUUUAUUCACUUGGCUCCUUAAGGAAAAUGAGAAAAGAGAACAAAGAUAAAACAUGUAGAAAGAAGGCAGAUCAGA